AUGGAUGCUGGACCCGAGAGGUCCCCUUCCGAGCGGUCUUAUCAAUCAGUUGAUACGGAGCAGUUUUAUAGUGACGAAGGCUCAGGAACGGAUUUGCAAGCUGUCUUGUUUGGAUCCAGAAAAUAGCGGAAGGAAAUCAGGAUGGAAUAGAGAUAUGUCGUUAUCGGCGAAGGACGAUUCGGAGGCUUUCGAGUCACUGGACCAGAGGGCAACGCGGGGUUGCAGGAUGAUAUAACGCGACCCUGGUUCUUUGCGCCAAGUGGAGCGUAUCGUGGGGAAUACGCGCGUCAUGAAAAGACGAUGAAAACCGUCUUAAAGCUUUCGUUUGAUCCGACGCCCUGGCGAUUCUAAGACGAAAAACUGACCGAAGAGAACCCUGCAUCGGGUGAGGACUGGCCCGAAAAUUGAUUUUGGCACAAGAAACUGCAGGAGUGGAGCGGGGGUUCGAUGGAAAUGAAUUCGCAGUAAUCGCUGCAUGUCUAACUUAAUUGCACUCCUCCCCGGCCGGAACGACUUCCUCCUGUCUCCGAGGUAAAUAAAAGCAAAGGGGGCACUUUAGAUGCCGCUUAAAAUUGCACGCCUAGUGUGCAAGUUAAAUGCAGACCUGCUCGAGGCUUCAGUCAAUGGCCACUUACAAUUAGCAACUUAACGACACGUCACGCGAGGGACAGGGUGGGUCAACGUGAUGGUAGGGUCUUCUCCACCGCCUUCCAGCCUCUCGUGUAAACAACAUUUAAUCACGCGAACGUGCCCCGUGUCCGUCAACGAUGUCCAGUCUCUCUCGUCGAUUUACUCGCACGAUCUUUGGAAGAUCUAUACACGUCAGCGGAAGAUCAGCCCGAGUUCUCGGCAAAAUUUCGUCUCCCGUGAUUCCGCCAAUUACACUUUCCACCGGCAAGUUUCAAUGAAGUCAACGAAAUGACAAAAGAUGGGGCACUGCGAAUAAAGGACCCCGACACUGCAUCGUGUCGUUUAAUCGUGGACAAGAAGAGGAAGUCGAUUUAUCAAUCCCACGGGAAUGCGGGAAAAUCGAGCUAACCAAUUUUAGCGCCUUUUGCCAAGAACUCGAAGUUACGUUUUCGAAAGUGUCCCCCUGAUUAGAUCAGGACUUUCGCUCUCCGUUCAGCGGGCAUUUCUUGCCAGCACGAGUCGUACUCAUUUCGAGUCGAAUUUCGCCGAAAGCUCGAUUUGCGCUACCGAAUUGGCGAGUGCGCCCUCGCAGUUCUCGAUUCUCGAGAAUUUCGCCUAUCUACCUCCCGCAAAGUCAUCGCAACUUCUCGCAGGGAUAUAUUUCUAUAUAUAUAUCUUUUAACGAGAUCGUCAACAAUUAACAUCCUCCGGCAGCCUGGCCGGGUUCUCAGAAACCCCGGAGCCGGAUUUCGUGGGUCGAGCAUUAAUUUCCUGAAAAUUUUCAAUCGAAUUUCCAACUUCUCGGACCUCGGGGUUUCUGAAAACGCGACUGAUUCGUGCCACGAAAAUAAUGCUCGCAACAAAGACAGAAUAUAGGCGCGAAGCGUUUUUCGAUCCAUGGUUCCGUGUUCUCUAGACGACCCGGCUGCCGCGAAACUCGUCGGGAAAUUCGCGAAAAUCCGCAAUUUGACGCAAUUUUAUUCUCUGGAAUUUCCCGAGAGGGCAUAACGAUUCCUCGAGGCAUUCGGAUUUUUGGAAGGCCGAGGAAAAGUUGGACAAGUUUCGCCGAAUCGCGGAUUUCUGCGGUCCCCUGCAGGUUUCGCGUUGUUUUAACGCGCGAAGCUUCUGCCGGAAGUUGAAGCCGGUGUCGCCCCGUUAGUAGCUUCCGGUUUGCGGACGGGAACUUCCGGAAAGCCCGGGAUCGCUCCUACAGGAUAGCGUUUCCCACCGUUUCCACAUUGUUUUCUGCCCUUUUGUUGCCCUUUUCGGUUACUCUUGGCGGCCGGACUUUGCCGGAAGUUGGCGCCGUUCACAAUGCGGUCGAAAAUGGCCAUUAAAGUCUUUCGAAUUCGCAUGUAGGUUUUUAAAGAUAAAAUAAAAUAUUAACACUGACGGUCUCAAAUUUCGUUGAUGGACAUUUACAUACCGCCGGCGUCUCUUACAUGGUAAGACAUGUCCAGGCAGAAGGGAAAAGUGUUUAGUGACCAUUUUUGAACUCGAUACGACUUUGAAAGUCUUUGCAAUGGCCAAUCUCGUGCUCACCGUUGUUCCGAACUUUUUCACGCGCUCUCAGUCGGUUAUCUUGCGAAAGUAAACCUAACGUAAGUUCGAUUCGUUGUACGAUAUAUGUUCGUGGUGACGACGGAAGGGAUAUAUUUUUUUCUCUCCUCUCUGCGGGAUUAAAGGAAUGGUUCUGUACAAAUUCAAGACUUAUACGAGAGGACAACGCGAGGCUUAACUGAUUUAAAACUACUUACAUAGUUCUACGUAAUAAUCAUGUCGGCUCUCUACCGCGAAUCUCGUCACCGGUUCUUCUUUCUUGAUAAAAAAGUCGGAAAAAGUCGAAAGUAACACUUCCUGACUAGGAAUAACCCUUACGCUCUAACGCCUUAAGAUCUACCCCGUCGCGGAAAAUUAACUACACCUACGUCUUAAAUUAAUCAAUUAAAAUAUAAUUAAGUUCUCACGGUUAUUCGCCACUCUACCGUUAGCCAACAAUGAUUACAAAUCUUUCUUUUAUAACGCCCGCUACCCGGGAUCUGUAUAUUCGAGGCUUUUAAGUAUGUCACUUAAGAUUCGGUUUUUAUACCUACGACUUGGAAAUAUUAUAAACAAUAGAUCCCUGUAUGAGAGAGGAGAGAAAGAAAGUGAGAGAGAGAGAGAAAGAUCGAAUGAUCGUGGCGAUGGGCGAUCGGAAAGAAAUUAAUUGUACUGUCAAUAAGGGAACUGUCAAGUACUUUACAAACGAUGAGCAUAUAUCGACUGAUUUCCCACUAAGUUAGUCUGAGUUAAUCAUAAAUGAAGUCUUAUGCCUAGAGAUCGGAUGUAGCAUCCGAAAGAAUUUCCUCGGCACUUGCAGCACAGGUCCUCGAAAGAAAUAUUUCUUUCGCGAACGAAUACUUUUUGUAAUCCUUCGUCGAAGGCUGUUCAUACUUUUUCCCUCCCAUUUUUCUUUAGAUUCCGCCAGUAAGGAAGUUUUGCAAGGGGCUGAGGACUCGUUUAUCAGCAGUUGGGAAACUUGUUAAAAAUUUCUCUUUUCAAUAAAAGUCACUCUUUCGUGCUAAUAAAUUCUAAGGAGUAAUCAUCCCGUCGAUAAACGGAACGAUUACUUUCGCAGAAUUGCCCGACUGCAGGGGAUCUGGAAUAAAAAGAGACCCGAUUGAUAUUCACCGGCUACUUUUCAAUUCUAUCGCGGCAAUUUCCGGAAUUCGAGAGGAGAGAGGCGACCGGUGCCGCAGAGGCGGAGGAAGGCUCUCGGAAAGUGAAAAUCCGAUCUCCAAUUAUGUCGAAAGUGAAUCGCCAGGUCAGAGUUUCGGUUUUUUCGACCGAUUUUAAGGACUGUGGGGGUCUCGAGGACCCGCCGAGGAACGAUAAAACGCAAUCUGACGAGAUCGCCGUCGUCGCGUGCGAACGAUACCUUCGGAAUCGCCCGUCCCUAUGUACAAGAAAAAUAUAUGUAUAUUUAUGUUAUAAUGCA